UAUUUUACUAUUAAUUAUAAAUAGAAAAUAAAUUACAUUUACUCUUAUGUAACUUAUUUCAAAAUUCAGAAACCCUAAAUUAUUUUCACAACCGCCGUCUCUCUCAAACUGUACCAUUUCUUCCUCCUUUCAUCCUCCAAAUUUGGUCGAUCCGGCCGCUCCACCACCAUUGAUCCCUGCUUGCGCCGCCCGCUCCACCGCCUUCGACUCCUGUCCUGCGCCGCCGCCUUCCUCGCGAUUUUGAAGCUCCACCGCCGAUUCAUCUGCCUUACAUGUUCGAAUCACCGCCUUUUCUCUCCUGUGGUAACUGGUGCCAUCGAUUUUAGCCCACAAAAAUAUCAGUUCGAGAAAUAAAGAUUAAAAAAUUUCAAUCUGAUCUGAAACUGUGGUGUCAGCCCCAUUGUCACCUACAGAAGAAAAAAGUGAGGUUCGUAUUUUUAAAUUGUUAAAGAUAUAAGAUUUUGUUUUUGUAAUCAUAUGACUUGUGUAAAAAGUUGAAAACUUUAUUAUGCAUAAAUUUUUUUUUUAGUAAUAAUUAUUUUUUAAAAAAGUUAAAAUAAUUAAUUUUUUUAGAAUUUUUUAAAUAGAAGAGUUGUAGAGCUUUUUUUUAUCCUUAAAUAUUAUUUAAACAUCUUAUCUCAUUUUAAAUUCUUACAUUUAUUCUUUUUUUAUAUACUUUUUCCUCUUUUUUGUCUUCUUCUGCAUCCCUUCCUCGUACUAAAAAAACCUUAGUUCAUGUGAUUAAUAGUGUCCGAUUCUGUUAUGUCAUGUAAAAAGGACUAUUUAUAAUAUUCAUAUCGCAGAAAUAAAAUAUACAAAUUACCAACUAAUAUUGCGGCAUAAUGUGACCAUAAAAGAUUGACGAAAAUUUUAUGGCUGAAUUUUAAUGUCCUUCUAAACCGAAAUAUAUAUAUAUAAUAAGUUCGCUAAUCUUAAAUUCAUAAUUUAUUUUAUUAUAUUGUUGUGCAUAUGUAUUCGGUUUGGUUGUUUAGGUGGAUACAAAGUGGGCAGAUACAAAGUGGUGCAUUGUUAAUUUCUAUUUUUUUUAAGUAUAUUUUAGUAUCAAAGUAAAUUAUAUUUAUUUAUUUAUUUAUUUAUAUAUAUAAGUAUAACAGUCGUUUCUAUGAAUAACUGUGAAAUGCUAAAAAAUAUAUUUCGAAAAAUAUUAAGGUGUUAUGAUAAAGAAUUUUGAAGAUAUAUAGUUAAUUCUUUUUUAUGUUUUUAUUUAAGUUACAGUGUUAUCUUUACAUUGUAUUUUUUUUACAUACAUCAUUAUACUAAAAUGUAUAUAAACCCACCAACGAGCUUUAACGAAUCUUUUCAUAAUUGAUGAGUAAUUAAAUUUAAUAUUUAUAUCAAUUUUUUUUCCUAAUAUUCUAAUUAUCAUUGAUAACUAUUUUAUUUAAGUUUAGAGGCGAUUGUUGCACAGAGAAGUUGGUGCCAUUCUUCAGGUGAAGAUAUUUUCAACAUCAAAUUUAUUGAAAAUAUCAAAUUUAUUUAGACGUGAGUAUGAAGUUAGAUAUAUAAUUUUAAAUAUAUGUUCGAUUAUAUGUUCAAUAUUAUUUAAAAUAAUUACCAUAAUUUUUAUAGGUAAAAUUUUUCCUAAAAAUUGAUAUUGAUAACAUGUGAAAAUUUUAAAUUAAUUAUAUAUAUAUCAAGUUUACAUAAAGACGUAUGAUAGUAGGGAGACCAUAAAAUUCAAGUUAUUCGACAGACAUUUGAAAUAUAUAUUUUAUGGAAGAUUCAUCUGUCAAGUAUACGACGAUCCAGGUAUAAUUUAUGUAUUAGUUUUAUAUAAUUUUAUAUUAUAAAAUAUAUUUUAUAUGUUUGACUUAUAAUUCAGUUAAAUAGAUAGACAAUGCUAAAAUAUUAUUUAAAUGCAUUUAUUGACCGCCGCGUUCAUAUUCAUUGUUCUUGUGCCUCUAACAUUUGCAAGACCAUAUGUUUUAUCUUCGAUGUUUUAGGUUAUAAGAGUAGAUUUGUGUGAAUAAUAUGCACAUAUUAUAAAAAGAUCUCCAUAAUAACUCUUUUUAUAAUGUGUGCAUAUUCUUCACAUCAAUUUAUUCUCGUAACCUGAAUGUGAACACGCGGUCAAUAAAUGCACCUAAAUAAUUUUUUAGUAUUAUUUAUCCAUUUAUCUUAAAAUAUAAGUAAAUCAUAUAAAAUAUAUUUUAUAAUAAAACUAGUAUGUAAAAUAUACGUGGGUUGUCAUAUACUUAUACAUGGAUCUUUCAUAUAAAAUAUAUAUUUAAGAUGUCUGUCGAAUAACUUGAAUUUCAUGGUCUCAUUAUUAUCAUACGUUUUUAUGUAAACUUGAUAUACAUAAUUAAUGUAAAAUUUUCACAUGCUAUUAACAUCAAUAUCUUGGACACGCACAAUCAUUUGAAAAAAGUUUAUGUAUAAAUAAAUGGUAAUUAUUUUAAAUAAUAUUAUACAUAUAGUCGAACAUAUAUUUAAAAUUAUAUAUUCAACCCCUUCCUCAUGUCUGAAGUCAUGUAUCCAAAUUCGUUUGGUAUUUGAUAUUUUCAAUAAGUAUCUUGACCUAAAAAAUGACACAAACUUCUCGCACAAUAAUCACCCUUAAACCUAAAUAAAAUACUUAAAAUCAAUUAUAAUUAGAAUAUUAGAAAAAAUAUACAUUUUAGAGUUGAUGAUGUGUGAAAAAUAUAUCAACUUAUAAAAUUUUAGAAACAAUAAAUAUGUAAAUAAAAAAUUACAAUAUAAUUAAUGUAAUUUAAAUAAAAAUAUAAUAAAGAGUUAACUAUAUACCUUCGUAAUUUUUUAUCAUAACACCAUAUGCCCAUAGAGUAAUAUUUUUUUAAAAAAUAUUCUUUAGUAUUUCACCGUCAUCCAUGGCAUAUUUGAUGCGUAGAAUCAUAUGAACGACUGUUAUACUUAUAUUUAUUAUAAAGAAAAGUAAAGUAAAUAUAAUUUAGUACUAAAAAUAAAUAAAAAAAAAAUUAACAAUGUACAUUAUAUCAAGAAGAAUAAUUUAACGCAUGAGAUAAACCAUUCUUCGAUAAGUACCAAUCAUCCAUGUAAAUAAUCAAUUUGAAUACAUCUGCACAACAAUUUAAUAAAAUAAAUUAUGAAUUUAAGAUUAGUGAAUUGUUAUAUAUAUAUAUAUAUGUUAUAGUGGACAAUAUUGUGGAAUUCGUACAAAAAAUCUUCGUCAAUCUUCAAUGGUCACAUUAUGCCGCAAGAUUAGUUGAUAACGAUGAGGUACUAAUAUGUAUAUUUUAUUCGCUAUUAUCACUUAUGCAUUAUGAAUAUUAUAAAUAAUGUCUCGUGUAAUACAUGAACUCAAUUUGUCAAUAUUAAUCUUAUGAACUAUGCAUUGCAUGACAAAUUCCUACGGUGAAAAUUGUCAGUAAUAAACAAUUAUAAAUUAUGAAAAUAGAAAAAAUAUUAUCAAAAUCUUAGAUAUCAAACUGGGGUGAUUUUUAGUAAGAGAAAGAGAAUGCAAAAGACAGAAAAGAAAAAUGAGGAAAAGUACAUACGGAAGAAUAAAUGUAAAAUUUAAAAUUAAAUAUGUUUAAAUAA